AUACGUAGGGAGCAAGCGUUAUCCGGAUUUAUUGGGUGUAAAGGGUGCGUAGACGGGCAAAUAAGUUAGUUGUGAAAUCCCUCGGCUUAACUGAGGAACUGCAACUAAAACUGUUAGUCUUGAGUGCGGGAGAGGAAAGUGGAAUUCCUAGUGUAGCGGUGAAAUGCGUAGAUAUUAGGAGGAACACCAGUGGCGAAGGCGACUUUCUGGACCGUAACUGACGUUGAGGCACGAAAGUGUGGGGAGC
rnacentral:rRNA from 1 species